GAAAGAUCAGGAAACCAGUCCUCAGCUGGGAACGUUUGACGUGUCCACCAUGGCUCGGGUCGCCCUCCUGUGUCUGCUCGCAUCCAUCGGGCGCUGCGUGGGUCAGAGGAUCCUGUCAGAGAGCUCUGUGCACGCAGGUGUCGGAAGCAAUGUGACGCUGAGAACUCCGAUUCACGACCUGCAGAGCUCGGCUCUGUUCUGGCACUUUAAUGACGGGAAGGAGAUUGUAAAUGUUGCCUCGGUGAGCUCCUCCACGCUCAGACUGAACACGUCCUACGAGGGCAGAGCGUGGAUUAAUCCAGCCAACGGCCACUUGACCCUGGGUGCGCUGACACUGCAGGACAGUGGGGAAUAUAUCAUCACCAUCGUAUACAAACACGGUCAGAGCGACGUUGCAAAGAUACGCCUCACGGUCUCAGGGACCCAGAACGGAGGAAAUCCACGCGCUCGCUCUUCACUCGUCACAUGUGGACGCUCGGUUUUCAGCACGUACGGGCAAACCGUGUCAGGACCAGGUGUGGCGGUCCCAGCUGCAACAAUGAAAUGUAAUGAUUGA
rnacentral:lncRNA from 1 species